rnacentral:rRNA from 1 species
CAUUAUCGAUGCUUCACAAGGAACGCUGUCGCUGGCUCUUCUUGAAAGGAAGAGCAUGUGCACGUCUUCCUUUUUCUUUCACUCUCGUGCACUCCCUGUAGUCCCAGGGCAAACAAACAUGACCUGGGUCUACGUUCUUCGUUUACAUCUCCUCGAAUCGCAUGUCUAGAAAGAUUGUAUAUAUAUAUCAUACACAAAUUUUACAACUUUCAGCAACGGAUCUCUUGGCUCUCGCAUCGAUGAAGAACGCAGCGAAUUGCGAUAAGUAAUGUGAAUUGCAGAUUUUCAGUGAAUCAUCGAAUCUUUGAACGCACCUUGCGCUCCUUGGUAUUCCGAGGAGCAUGCCUGUUUGAGUGUCAUCGAAUUCUCAACCAUGUUCUCUCUCUUUGGAGAAGGGACAUGGCUUGGACUUGGGAGUUGCUGGCCAUCUCGUCAGCUCUCCUGAAAUGCAUUAGUGGUCGCCAGCAAGUCUGGACGUGCACGGCCUUCCGACGUGAUAAUGAUCGUCGUGGGCUGGAACGUCAAGGACAAGCAUGAAUGGGUCCGAUCCGCUUCCAAUUCCCCACCACUUCUUGGACAGCACUUUUGUGACUAGUCGAGUUCCUCGACUGAACAUGAGGCAGCAGUCCUUUGAAGUCUUCGAACGCUUGACCU